GCCAGGCGUGGUGGUGCAUGCCUGUAAUCCCAGCUACUCAGGAGGUUGAGGCAGGAGAAUCACUUGAACCCGGGAGGCAGAGGUUGCAGUGAGCCGAGAUUGUGCCACUGCAUUCCAGCCUGGGCUAUACAGUGAGACUCUGUCUCAA
ensembl:misc_RNA Metazoa_SRP Metazoan signal recognition particle RNA